GUAGAUACCGCCCAAGAGUUCAUAUCGACGGCGGUGUUUGGCACCUCGAUGUCGGCUCAUCUCAUCCUGGGGCUGAAGC
rnacentral:rRNA from 1 species